UACAGAGGUCUCAAGCGUUGUUCGGAUUCAUUGGGCGUAAAGGGUGCGUAGGCGGCGCGGUAAGUCGGGUGUGAAAUCUUGGAGCUUAACUCCGAAACUGCAUUCGAUACUGCCGUGCUUGAGGACUGGAGAGGAGACUGGAAUUUACGGUGUAGCGGUGAAAUGCGCAGAUAUCAGGAGGAACACCGGUGGCGAAGGCGGCAUCCUGGACCAACACUGACGCUGAGUGAGCGAAAGCCAGGGGAGCAAACGGG
rnacentral:rRNA from 1 species